UACAUCCUAACUACUAGAAUGCAUUGCUAUGGAAUGAUGUCUCUUCUGACCUACCACAUAUAACAGUUUCUGUGCCCUGUCCUUCUCCUCUGUUCUACUUCUUCACUGCAUAGCUGCUUGUAAGAUGAAUAGUGCCUCCAAGCUAAUGAAUAUGUUGUUUAGACUCUAGAGAACACAGUCCGACUUAAAUUUAUGGAGGAAUUUUAUAGGCUGCAUCAUAUGGGAAACCCAGAAGAAUAAACAGUAUGAUUCUUAAAUUUAACAUCCUCUGAAUUUGCAAGUGAUAACGUCUACAAAGAGAAAAAAACUGAACACACAUUUUCAGAAAAUCAGAUCUGCACGAAGGAUGAUACCAUUACAGGAUUAUGGUUGCACUUUUGUUUGCAGUCCCAUGACAAGAUACUCAAGCUGACAUCAUAUCAGGUCCGCGAGCAGAUAUGGUCAAUAAGUUUUGCAGGACAUACCAAAGACUAUGAAGCAAUAAGAAGAGAAUAACCGAAGGUGCCGUACAUGUGUGCAGGUUUACCGUACUGCAUAAAAUCUGGAGGAAAAACUAAAAGGAUUACUGCUUACAUCAGGAUCUGGAAAUGACAAUCUGACAGCCUGGCUGCCACAGCGAGCUUCGCUGCAGUUUUUGCAGCACCACUUCUACAUGAUCACAUGACUCUUGAUAUGGAUUCAGUCCUGUCAGACUUUGUUCGGUCAACAGGGGCAGAACCAGGACUGGCAAGAGAUCUUCUUGAA